GCAUUUUAUUUCCAAUUACGGACGGACUUAUAUGCAAAAGAGCGAUUGCUAAAGGAGAAAGAUGGUUGAGAUCCCUAAUCCCCCACUAAUAUAAGACCAUUACCCAAAACGAAAAAAAAGCCAACAAAAAUCUCUCCUUUUUUCGUCCAAUACCAAUCCAAAUCCAAAUUAACUCCUCUCGAUCUCUCUCUCAGAUCGAACCCCUUCAUCAAUGGCGUCGAUCCCCUGCGCGAUCCAUCUCUACGCUCCAUCGUCUCCUUCCUCAAUCUCAUCUGAGUCCCAAUCUCAAUCGAGGUCCCCAGUGGAGAAGCUCUUUCGGAAGAGUUUUGGGUGGGUCCGGGCCUCGUUGGCUCGGCCCAAAGUAGGGCCCAUCUCCGUUCUUGCCUUGGAUCAGAAUGAUGUUGAUCAGGGACUCCUCAGAUGAUAUGAUGGGGAUCAAGAUUUAGAAGGCAGCAGAUCGGAACUUCAUCAGCCUCUGGUUUUAUUCUACAGAAUGUGCUCAUGAAAUUUGCUAGCAAUCUUUUUCUUUUUAGUCUUUCAAUAGUUUUUUUUACCUUUUCUUUUUCUCUUUUUAUUGGCCCUCAGCCACUGUAAAUUCUAUUUAGCUUUGCUUUUAUUUAGAAGAUAAUUUUAGUUGGCUUUGUGGAGUCAGUUUGUAUCUCCAGUUUAGUUGCAAAUAUUAAAGUAUCUUGCAGGUGGGCUCCUGUUCAAAACAGUA